rnacentral:rRNA from 1 species
UACGUAGGGUGCGAGCGUUAAUCGGAAUUACUGGGCGUAAAGCGUACGCAGGCGGCUGCGCAAGUCAGGUGUGAAAUCCCCGGGCCUAACCUGGGAACUGCAUUUGUGACUGCGCAGCUCGAGUCCGUCAGAGGGUGGUGGAAUUCCACGUGUAGCAGUGAAAUGCGUAGAGAUGUGGAGGAACACCGAUGGCGAAGGCAGCCCCCUGGGAUGAGACUGACGCUCAGGUGCGAAAGCGUGGGGAGCAAACAGG